AGAGCGUAGGGAGGAUACCUAGGCACCAAGAGCCGAAGAAGGACGUGAUAAGCUGCGAAAAGCUAUGGUAAGGAGCAAAUAUCCUAUGACCCAUAGAUAUCCGAAUGAGGGAACUCAUCCACAGAAAAAAGUGUGGAUAUCCAUAUAUGAGUAAAGUAGUAUAUAGGAAGGGAACGCAAGGAACUGAAACAUCUUAGUACUUGUAGGAAGAGAAAGAAAAAUCGAUUCUGUGAGUAGUGGCGAGCGAAAGCGGAAGAGCCCAAACCAAUGUUGCUUGCAACGUUGGGGUUCGGACUACAUAAUCCAUUUAUCGAGCGAAUAAGAAUUGUUUGGGAAGGCAAAUCAUAGAAGGUGAAAAUCCUGUAUUAGAAGUGAGAUAGAGGAGGUAGUAUCCAGAGUAGUGCGAGGCACGUGAAACCUCGUAUGAAAGAGCGGGGACCACCCCGUAAGGCUAAAUACUACUUGGUGACCGAUAGAGAUUAGUACCGUGAGGGAAAGGUGAAAAGAACCCCGGGAGGGGAGUGAAAUAGAACAUGAAACCCUAUGCUUACAAACAGACAAAGCACGUUAAGGUGUGAUGUCGUACUUUUUGUAGAACGGUCCAGCGAGUUAUUGUAUAUGGCAAGGUUAAGCACUAUGUAAGGUGUGAAGCCGAAGCGAAAGCGAGUCUGAAAAGGGCGAAUUAAGUCAUAUGUAAUAGACCCGAAACCGGGUGACCUAACCAUGGUCAGGAUGAAGCUUGAGUAAAAUCAAGUGGAGGUCCGAACUGAUAAGCGUUAAAAAGCUUCCGGAUGAACUGUGGUUAGCGGAGAAAUUCCAAUCGAACUCGGAGAUAGCUGGUUCUCCUCGAAAUAGCUUUAGGGCUAGCCUUGAUGUAAAGAUAUAUGGGGGUAGAGCACUGAAGGUGCUAGGGGCCUAAACCAGGUUACUGAACACUAUCAAACUCCGAAUACCAUAUAUUAGUAGUCAGGAGUCAGACUGCGGGAGCUAAGUUCCGUGGUCAAAAGGGAAAGAGCCCAGAUCGUCAAUUAAGGUCCCAAAGAUAUAGCUAAGUGGGAAACGAUGUGAAAUUGCGUAAACAACCAGGAUGUUGGCUUAGAAGCAGCCAUACAUUUAAAGAGUGCGUAAUAGCUCACUGGUCGAGUGAAUUUGCGCGGAAAAUUACCGGGGCUAAGCUAUACACCGAAAUUGCGGGUUAUGAUGUAUCUAAUAAUGUGUAUCAGAAGGGUACAUAUUAUUAGAUACAUUGUAGCGGUAGAGGAGCAUUCUGUAGUAGGGUGAAGUAUGAUCGAAAGGACAUAUGGACGAGGCAGAAGAGAGAAUGCUGGAAUAAGUAGCGAGAGCAAAGUGAGAAUCUUUGCCGUCGAAAGUCUAAGGUUUCCUGGGGAAGGUUCGUCCGCCCAGGGUAAGUCGGGACCUAAGGUGAGGCCAAGGAGGCGUAGCCGAUGGAUAGCAGGUAUAAAAUUCCUGCACUACCGAAAUACUUAAAAACGAUAAGGGACGCAGGAGAGGAAGGAAAUCCGGGAAGAGGAAAAACCGGAGCCGAAAGGCAUAGUGAAAAUUUAAAGUAACGAAGUUCCAAGAAUCACACUGACGAGAAAAGCUUAUUGACAUUGUAUUAAGGUACCCGUACCGCAAACCGACACAGGUAGAUGAGGAGAGGAUCCUAAGACGAGCGAGAGAAGUACUGUUAAGGAACUCGGCAAACUAACCCCGUAACUUAGGGAGAAGGGGUACCUAUGUAAAAGUAGGUCGCAGAGAAGAGUCCCAAGCAACUGUUUAACAAAAACACAGGUUUCUGCUAAAUCGAAAGAUGAAGUAUAGGAGCUGACGCCUGCCCAGUGCUGGAAGGUCAAGGGGAGAUGUUAGAAGAAAUUCGAAGCAUAGAACCAAAGCCCCAGUGAACGGCGGCCGUAACUAUAACGGUCCUAAGGUAGCGAAAUUCCUUGUCAGGUAAGUUCUGACCCGCACGAAAGGCGUAAUGAUUUGGGCACUGUCUCGACAAUGUACCCGGCGAAAUUGUAGUACUAGUGAAGAUGCUAGUUACCUGCGACAAGACAGAAAGACCCCAUGGAGCUUUACUGUAGCUUGAUAUUGGGUUUCGGUAAUUUAUGUACAGGAUAGGUGGGAGACUAUGAAGCAAGAGCGUCAGCUUUUGUGGAGUCACCCUUGGGAUACCACCCUUAAAUUAUUGGAAUUCUAACCUGUGAUCAUGAACUGGUCAGGGGACAAUGUCAGGCGGGCAGUUUGACUGGGGCGGUCGCCUCCUAAAGAGUAACGGAGGCGCCCAAAGGUUUCCUCAACCCGGACAGAAAUCGGGUGAAAGAGUGCAAAGGCAGAAGGAAGCUUAACUGAAAGACAGACAUGUCGAGCAGAUACGAAAGUAGGGCUUAGUGAUCCGGUGGUAUGUGAGUGGAAAUGCCAUCGCUCAACGGACAAAAGUUACCCUGGGGAUAACAGGCUUAUCUCCCCCAAGAGUUCACAUCGACGGGGAGGUUUGGCACCUCGAUGUCGGCUCAUCGCAUCCUGGAGCGGAAGUACGUUCCAAGGGUUGGGCUGUUCGCCCAUUAAAGCGGUACGCGAGCUGGGUUCAGAACGUCGUGAGACAGUUCGGUCCUUAUCUGUCGCAGGCGCAGGAUAUUUGAAGGGAGUUGUCCUUAGUACGAGAGGACCAGGAUGAACAUACCGAUGGUGCAACAGUUGUCACACCAGUGGCAUAGCUGUGUAGCUAAGUAUGGAAGGGAUAAACGCUGAAAGCAUCUAAGUGUGAAGCCCACCCUAAGAUAAGAUAUCCCACAACGUUAAGUUGG
rnacentral:rRNA from 1 species